GACGUAGGAUGCAAGCGUUGUCCGGAUUUAUUGGGCGUAAAGAGCUCGUAGGCGGCUUGUUGCGUCGACUGUGAAAACCCGCGGCUUAACCGCGGGCUUGCAGUUGAUACGGGCAGGCUAGAGUUCGGUAGGGGAGACUGGAAUUCCUGGUGUAGCGGUGAAAUGCGCAGAUAUCAGGAGGAACACCGGUGGCGAAGGUGGGUCUCUGGGCCGAUACUGACGCUGAGGAGCGAAAGCGUGGGGAGCGAACAGG
rnacentral:rRNA from 1 species